ACCAAACACAGAGCCAAAGACAAAGUUCUAACUCUCAAACCCAAAAUUCACCUAAAUCCCUCCAAUUAUCAACGAAGAAUUCGAUUAGGAAUCAAUUUUAAGCAACAAUCUUGAUCACCAACCUUGGGAGAUCAUAAGGCAAUUUGGGUGGAUCGUCUAGUAACCAAGGUGGAACGGACAAUCGGUUGAAAGGAAAGCUCUAAAGGUAACUAUAGAAACUUGCGGAUGAAGAUCAAGCUAUGUCUUAGAGCCGAACACGCGCAUAAAGAAGCUUCCGCGAAAGAAACUAGUUCUUUUGUCACAAAACGUUUUGAUGUUGUGUUUUUUCAUACUUUUGUACAUAAGGUUUGUAUGGUUUAAAAGUUAAGUAUGUUGGAUUAGACAACACGUUUUGUAAACAUUAGUG